GGAGGGUGCAAGCGUUAUCCGGAUUCACUGGGUUUAAAGGGUGCGUAGGUGGGCAGGUAAGUCAGUGGUGAAAUCUUUGGGCUUAACCCGAAAACUGCCAUUGAUACUAUUUGUCUUGAAUAUUGUGGAGGUCAGCGGAAUAUGUCAUGUAGCGGUGAAAUGCUUAGAUAUGACAUAGAACACCAAUUGCGAAGGCAGCUGGCUACACAUAUAUUGACACUGAUGCACGAAAGCGUGGGGAUCAAACAGGAUUAGAUACCCUGGUAGUCCACGCCCUAAACGAUGGAUACUCGACAUACGCGAUAUACUGUGUGUGUYUGAGSGAAAGCAUUAAGUAUCCCACCUGGGAAGUACGAU
rnacentral:rRNA from 1 species